CGAAGCCGGGGGGACGGAGGAGGUUAACGCGGCCGGGUGCUGGAUGUCCCGGUUCAAGGCAGUAGGGUGUCCUCGAGGCAAGCGUAACUUGAGGGCAAACCCGAGAGCUGAUGACGUGGUCUUCGGACCGUAAGCGCGCGAUACCACACUCCCAAGAAAAGCCCCGCGUUCAGUGGAGCCAUGUGGCGACCGUACCGCAAACCGACACAGGUGGGCGAGGAGAAAAUCCUCAGGCGCUUGAGAGAAAUCUGGCCAAGGAACUAGGCAAAUUGCCACCGUAACUUCGGAAGAAGGUGGGCCUCCGGUAGGUGUAGAGCCUCGCGCUCGAAGCCGAAGGAGGUAGCAUGAAAACGGGGGUAGCGACUGUUUACCAAAAACACAGGACUCUGCAAACUCACGAAGAGGAAGUAUAGGGUCUGACGCCUGCCCGGUGCCGGAAGGUUAAGGGGAUCUGUCAGCCGCAAGGCGAAGCAGUGAUCCGAAGCCCCGGUAAACGGCGGCCGUAACUAUAACGGUCCUAAGGUAGCGAAAUUCCUUGUCGGGUUUUCCGACCUGCACGAAAGGCGUAACGACUUCCCCACUGUCUCGGCCAGGUGCUCAGCGAAAUUGAAAUAGCUGUGAAGAUGCAGUUUACCCGCAGCAAGACGGAAAGACCCCGUGAACCUUUACUCUAACUUGACAGUGACACUAGGGCUUGCUUGUGUAGCAUAGGUGGGAGGCUUUGAAGCCGGGGCGCUAGCUUCGGUGGAGCCAACGGUGAAAUACCACCCUGGCGAGUUCUGGUGUCUCACCGAGACCCGUAAACCGGGUCCGGGACACUGUCUGGUGGGGAGUUUGACUGGGGCGGUCGCCUCCCAAAGCGUAACGGAGGCGCGCGAAGGUUCCCUCAGCCCGAUUGGAAACCGGGCGAUGAGUGCAAUAGCAUAAGGGAGCUUGACUGCGAGACCGACGGGUCGAGCAGGUGCGAAAGCAGGUCAUAGUGAUCCGGUGGUUCUGUAUGGAAGGGCCAUCGCUCAACGGAUAAAAGGUACUCCGGGGAUAACAGGCUUAUCACGCCCAAGAGUUCACAUCGACGGCGUGGUUUGGCACCUCGAUGUCGGCUCAUCGCAUCCUGGGGCUGGAGCAGGUCCCAAGGGUUUGGCUGUUCGCCAAUUAAAGCGGUACGCGAGCUGGGUUCAAAACGUCGUGAGACAGUUUGGUCCCUAUCUGCUGUGGGCGUAGGAGACUUGAGAGGCGCUGUCCUUAGUACGAGAGGACCGGGAUGGACGUACCUCUGGUGCACCAGUUGCCCCGCCCGGGGCAUCACUGGGUAGCCAUGUACGGAUGGGAUAACCGCUGAAAGCAUCUAAGCGGGAAACCCACCUCAAGAUUAGGUCUCCCGGGGAGCAAUCCCCCUGAAGGUCCGUCGGAGACGACGACGUUGAUAGGCCGGAGGUGUACGCGCGGUGACGCGCUCAGCUGACCGGUACUAAUCGACCGUGCGGCUUGGUCAU
rnacentral:rRNA from 1 species